CGGGCUCUCCAGGAUGCGUCGGCCCGCGCCCGCCACGGCGCCGGCCCGGAGACCCGAGCCCACCGGUGCUGGCGCCUCGCUGGCUCCGUUACGAGAGCCCGCGCCGCCAACGUGCGGUCGGAACCCGCUGGCCUGAGCCCAAAAGAGCUGCGGCCUUUGCCAGUGUGGAGCUGGAGUUUUCAGAUUUUACAGAUGUAUGAUCUCUUACUGGAUUACCAACUCCUGGAAGAUAGGUUGUUUCCUGCUCAGCCUUGUAUUCCUCACUGCCAAAUUCAGAAACUUGUACAAAAGAAGCAGUGUGCUAUGUUAAAGAUGGGAUAAACAGGGAUAGCAAAUCAAAAAGUCCAUCUGCUUCUCUCCUUAGUUACAUAAUAGCAGAUCAGUUGUUUUAGUUCCCCUGUCUUCAGAUCUCAUCUCUCAUAAGGUCUGGGAAUGUAGCUCAGUAACACCCUACUUACUGUUCUUGUCUCGUGUGUGAAGCCUCAGACUACAAAAGCCAAACAAGUCCCAUGGAAAUGGGAUAGUAGGUGCUACCGCUGUUAUCUAAAGUAAACACGUUUCAGUGGAUUGUGUCCUUACCACAUAGACAGUGGUGUUCUGUGCCCUCAGAGUUGCUUCAGUACUCCAAAGUCAGUUACAUCUUUCAGGUAACACUCAUAGUAUCUAUUCUGUGAUAAGCUGUGAACACGUGUUAGAAACUCAAUGUGAGUGGGCUCGAUCAGUGAAGAAAAUGUAAUUUCCUACAAUUGUCCAUCUAUAAAAAGCAGGUAUUAACACUUAAGAUU
rnacentral:lncRNA from 1 species